UACAGAGGGUGCGAGCGUUGUCCGGAAUCACUGGGCGUAAAGGGCGCGUAGGUGGCGCGACAAGUCAGUGGUGAAAGCUCGAUGCUUAACAUCGAGUCGGCCACUGAUACUGUUGGGCUUGAGCACUGUAGAGGCUAAUGGAAUUCCGGGUGUAGCGGUGGAAUGCGUAGAGAUCCGGAGGAAUACCGGUGGCGAAGGCGGCAUCCUGGACCGAGAUUGACACUGAUGAGCGAAAGCUAGGGGAGCAAACGGG
rnacentral:rRNA from 1 species